rnacentral:rRNA from 1 species
AACAUAGCCUUUAGCCAUACAAGUAUUAAAGGUCCCGCCUGCCCAGUGACCCCUUAAACGGCCGCGGUAUCCUAACCGUGCAAAGGUAGCAUAAUCACUUGUCCCCUAAAUAGGGACUAGAAUGAACGGCUACAUGAGGACUAACCUGUCUCUUACAUUCAACCAAUGAAACUGAUCUUUCAGUCCAAAAGCUGAAAUAACUACAUAAGACGAAAAGACCCUGUGGAGCUUACUAGACUCAAUACAUUUCUAUGUGCCUUAAGUCUUUAGUUGGGGCGACUUCGGAGCACAAAAAAACCUCCGACACACCCACAAGAUAAACAUAUCGACACUCACCCUUGACCCAGUAGUCUCACCACUACCUGACCAACGAACCAAGUUACCCCAGGGAUAACAGCGCCAUCCUCUUCAAGAGUCCCCAUCGACAAGAGGGUUUACGACCUCGAUGUUGGAUCAGGACAUCCAAAUAGUGCACCUGCUAUUAAUGGUUCGUUUGUUCAACGAUUAAAGUCCUACGUGAU